rnacentral:misc_RNA from 1 species
GAUGAAGAACGCAGCAAAAUGCGAUAAGUAAUGUGAAUUGCAGAAUUCAGUGAAUCAUCGAAUCUUUGAACGCACAUUGCGCCCGCCAUUAUUCUGGCGGGCAUGCCUGUUCGAGCGUCAUUUCAACCCUCAAGCUCAGCUUGGUGUUGGGACUCGCGGUAACCCGCGUUCCCCAAAUCGAUUGGCGGUCACGUCGAGCUUCCAUAGCGUAGUAAUCAUACACCUCGUUACUGGUAAUCGUCGCGGCCACGCCGUAAAACCCCAACUUCUGAAUGUUGACCUCGGAUCAGGUAGGAAUACCCGCUGAACUUAAGCAUAUCAAUAAGCGGAGGA